GACGAACGCUGGCGGCGUGCUUAACACAUGCAAGUCGAGCGGUAAGGCCCUUUCGGGGGUACACGAGCGGCGAACGGGUGAGUAACACGUGGGUGACCUGCCCUCAGCUCUGGGAUAAGCCUGGGAAACCGGGUCUAAUACUAGAUAUGACUCCAUGACGCAUGUUGUGGGGUGGAAAGCCUUGUGCGGCUGAGGAUGGGCCCGCGGCCUAUCAGCUUGUUGGUGGGGUGAUGGCCUACCAAGGCGACGACGGGUAGCCGGCCGUGAGAGGGCGACCGGCCACACUGGGACUGAGACACGGCCCAGACUCCUACGGGAGGCAGCAGUGGGGAAUCUUGCGCAAUGGGCGAAAGCCUGACGCAGCGACGCCGCGUGAGGGAUGAC
rnacentral:rRNA from 1 species